GGCCCAUUAGUCUAGGGGUUAGGACGUUGGAUUUUGACUAAGCUUCGGAAUCUUCCAAAGACACCAGUUCGAAUCUGGUAUGGGCCU
rnacentral:tRNA from 1 species